rnacentral:rRNA from 1 species
GACAGAGGGUGCAAUCGUUGUUCGGAAUUACUGGGCGUAAAGCGCGUGUAGGCUGCCCUGUAAGUCGGAUGUGAAAGACCUGGGCUCAACCUAGGAAGUGCAUUCGAAACUGCGGGGCUGGAGUCCUGGAGAGGAAAGCGGAAUUCUCGGUGUAGAGGUGAAAUUCGUAGAUAUCGAGAGGAACACCGGUGGCGAAGGCGGCUUUCUGGACAGUGACUGACGCUGAGACGCGAAAGCGUGGGGAGCAAACAGG